AGGAAUUGGCGGGGGAGCACCACAAGGGGUGAAGCCUGCGGUUCAAUUGGAGUCAACGCCGGAAAUCUUACCGGGGGCGACAGCAGAAUGAAGGUCAAGCUGAAGACUUUACCAGACAAGCUGAGAGGAGGUGCAUGGCCGUCGCCAGCUCGUGCCGUGAGGUGUCCUGUUAAGUCAGGUAACGAGCGAGACCCCCGCCUCUAGUUGCUACCGUUAUUCUCAGGAGUCGCGGAGCUAAUUAGAGGGACUGCCGUCGCUGAGACGGAGGAAGGAGGGGGCUACGGCAGGUCAGUAUGCCCCGAAACCCUCGGGCCACACGCGGGCUGCAAUGGUAAGGACAAUGAGUUUCAAUUCCGAAAGGAGGAGGCAAUCUCUAAACCUUACCACAGUUAUGAUUGAGGGCUGAAACUCGCCCUCAUGAAUAUGGAGUCCCUAGUAACCGCGUGUCACUAUCGCGCGGUGAAUACGUCCCUGCUCCUUGCACACACCGCCCGUC
rnacentral:rRNA from 1 species